rnacentral:rRNA from 1 species
AACCGGAUUAGAUACCCUGGUAGUCCACGCCCUAAACGAUGUCUACUAGUUGUCGGGUCUUAAUUGACUUGGUAACGCAGCUAACGCGUGAAGUAGACCGCCUGGGGAGUACGGUCGCAAGAUUAAAACUCAAAGGAAUUGACGGGGACCCGCACAAGCGGUGGAUGAUGUGGAUUAAUUCGAUGCAACGCGAAAAACCUUACCUACCCUUGACAUGUACGGAAGCCUGAAGAGAUUUAGGCGUGCUCGAAAGAGAGCCGUAACACAGGUGCUGCAUGGCUGUCGUCAGCUCGUGUCGUGAGAUGUUGGGUUAAGUCCCGCAACGAGCGCAACCCUUGUCAUUAGUUGCUACAUUCAGUUGAGCACUCUAAUGAGACUGCCGGUGACAAACCGGAGGAAGGUGGGGAUGACGUCAAGUCCUCAUGGCCCUUAUGGGUAGGGCUUCACACGUCAUACAAUGGUACAUACAGAGGGCCGCCAACCCGCGAGGGGGAGCUAAUCCCAGAAAGUGUAUCGUAGUCCGGAUCGCAGUCUGCAACUCGACUGCGUGAAGUUGGAAUCGCUAGUAAUCGCGGAUCAGCAUGUCGCGGUGAAUACGUUCCCGGGUCUUGUACACACCGCCCGUCACACCGUGGGAGCGGGUUUUACCAGAAGUAGGUAGCUUAACCGUAAGGGGGGCGCUUACCACGGUAGGAUUCGUGACUGGGGUGAAGUCGUAACAAGGUAACCGUA